rnacentral:tRNA from 1 species
GCCUCGGUGGCGGAAUUGGCAGACGCAGCGGAUUUAAAAUCCGCGGUAGCAAUACGUUGUGGGUUCGACUCCCACCCGGGGCA